rnacentral:rRNA from 1 species
AUUGAACGCUGGCGGAAUGCUAUACACAUGCAAGUCGAACGGCAGCACGGACUUCGGUCUGGUGGCGAGUGGCGAACGGGUGAGUAAUGUAUCGGAACGUGCCCAGUCGUGGGGGAUAACGUAGUGAAAAUUACGCUAAUACCGCAUACGAUCUAUGGAUGAAAGCGGGGGAUCGCAAGACCUCGCGCGAUUGGAGCGGCCGAUAUCAGAGUAGGUAGUUGGUGGGGUAAAGGCGCACCAAGCAAACGAUCUGUAGCUGGGCUGAGAGGACGACCAGCCACACUGGAACUGGGACACGGUCCAGACUCCUACGGGAGGCAGCAGUGGGGAAUUUUGGACAAUGGGCGAAGGCCUGAUCCAGCCAUUCCGCGUGCAGGAUGAAGGCCCUCGGGUUGUAAACUGCUUUUGUACAGAACGAAAAGGUUUCUACUAAUACUAGGAGCUCAUGACGGUACUGUAAGAAUAAGCACCGGCUAACUACGUGCCAGCAGCCGCAGUAA